UCGAGUUGGGUAUAGUGACGAGCAUAGAAUCUAACAACAAGCCUGUGGAAACGGCACGCAAAGGUCAAGAAGUCUGCAUCAAGAUCGAGCCCAUACCCGGCGAGGCACCCAAGAUGUUCGGUCGACACUUUGACGAGACUGAUAUGCUUGUCAGCAAGAUAACCCGACAGAGCAUCGAUGCUUGCAAAGAAUUCUUCAGGGAAGAUCUCGUCAAGAACGACUGGCAGUUGAUGGUCGAAUUGAAGAAAACCUUCCAGAUUCUCUAAUUUUUCAUAUAAUUUCAUGACUGCGUGAAAAUAUGUUUGUCCGUGUAUUCCUAUGCCCUCCUGUAUUUUGUUUUAACUAUUAUUUGUUGCCUAUUAGUGCGAUCGAGACGAAACAACAUUUUGUACUAAUUUUGUAUCGAGAGUACCACUGAUCUAGAAAUUAGCUCGUCUAACUUGUUGAUUUCUUCAAUAAUCAAUUGAAUUUUAUUAAUGUGCAUAUAUAAACAAAAAAAAUGAAUUAUUUAUUAUACGUAACGACAUUUUUCAACGUGUACUGUAUACUGGUACAGAUGGUAAAAGGAGUACAAUAAAAUCAUGCAAGACCUUUGAA